rnacentral:misc_RNA from 1 species
GAUGAAGAACGUAGCGAAAUGCGAUACUUGGUGUGAAUUGCAGAAUCCUGUGAACCAUCGAGUCUUUGAACGCAAGUUGCGCCCGAAGCCAUUAGGCCGAGGGCACGCCUGCCUGGGCGUCACACGUCGUUGCCCCCCCAUCUACUCCUUCGGGAUUGCGGGGGGCGGAUGAUGGCCUCCCGUGCGCCUCGUCGCGCGGUUGGCAUAAAUGCCAAGUCCUCGGCGACGCACGCCACGACAAUCGGUGGUUGCGAAACCUCGGUUGCCCGUCGUGUGCGGUCGUCGCGCAUCGAGGGCUCGAAAAAAUUGUCGGGCUCCGGCUCGGCUUUCAACGCGACCCCAGGUCAGGCGGGGUUACCCGCUGAAUUUAAGCAUAUCAAUAAGCGGAGGA